rnacentral:rRNA from 1 species
AUUGAACGCUGGCGGCAGGCCUAACACAUGCAAGUCGAGCGAGCGGCGGACGGGUGAGUAAUGUCUGGGACACUGCCCGAUGGCGGGGGAUAACUACUGGAAACGGUAGCUAAUACCGCAUACCAUCAGAUGUGCCCAUAUGGGGUUAGCUAGUAGGUGGGGUAAGGGCUCACCUAGGCGACGAUCCCUAGCUGGUCUGAGCGGAUGACCAGCCACACGGGGACUGAGACACGGUCCAGACUCCUACGGGAGGCAGCAGUGGGGAAUAUUGCACAAUGGGCGCAAGCCUGAGGCAGCCAUGCCGCGUGUAUGAAGAAGGCCGUCGGGUUGUAAAGCACUGUCAGCGGGGAGGCGUUACCCGCAGAAGAAGCACCGGCUAACUCCGUGCCAGCAGCCGCGGUAAUAC